rnacentral:rRNA from 1 species
UGCCUGUARACUGGGAUAACUUCGGGAAACCGGAGCUAAUACCGGAUAAUCCUUUCCUACUCAUGUAGGAAAGCUGAAAGACGGUUUACGCUGUCACUUACAGAUGGGCCCGCGGCGCAUUAGCUAGUUGGUGAGGUAACGGCUCACCAAGGCGACGAUGCGUAGCCGACCUGAGAGGGUGAUCGGCCACACUGGGACUGAGACACGGCCCAGACUCCUACGGGAGGCAGCAGUAGGGAAUCUUCCGCAAUGGACGAAAGUCUGACGGAGCAACGCCGCGUGAGUGAUGAAGGUUUUCGGAUCGUAAAACUCUGUUGUUAGGGAAGAACAAGUACGAGAGUAACUGCUCGUACCUUGACGGUACCUAACCAGAAAGCCACGGCUAACUACGUGCCAGCAGCCGCGGUAAUACGUAGGUGGCAAGCGUUGUCCGGAAAUUAUUGGGCGUAAAGCGCGCGCAGGCGGNUCCUUUUAAGUCUGAUGUGAAAGCCCACGGCUCAACCGUGGAGGGUCAUUGGAAACUGGGGGACUUGAGUGCAAAARAAAAGAGGGAAAUUCCCCGUGUACCGGUU